rnacentral:rRNA from 1 species
CGAGUGAACGCUAGGCGACUAGGCUUAAGCAUGCAAGUCGAGGGGUAACGAGAGGAAAGCUUGCUUCCUUGUCGACGACCGGCGCACGGGUGAGUAACGCGUAUCCAACCUGCCCCCAACUAAGGAAUAACCUUGCGAAAGUAAGACUAAUACCUUAUAAUUUCCUCAGAUGUCAUCUGACGAGGAAUAAAGAUUUAUCGGUUGUGGAUGGGGAUGCGUCUGAUUAGCUUGUUGGCGGGGUAACGGCCCACCAAGGCAACGAUCAGUAGGGGUUCUGAGAGGAAGGUCCCCCACAUUGGAACUGAAACACGGUCCAAACUCCUACGGGAGGCAGCAGUGAGGAAUAUUGGUCAAUGGGCGGAAGCCUGAACCAGCCAAGUAGCGUGCAGGAUGACGGCCCUAUGGGUUGUAAACUGCUUUUAUACAGGAAUAAAGUUAGCCACGUGUGGUUAUUUGUAGGUACUGUAUGAAUAAGGACCGGCUAAUUCCGUG